UACAGAGGGUGCAAGCGUUAAUCGGAAUUACUGGGCGUAAAGCGCGCGUAGGUGGUUUGUUAAGUUGGCUGUGAAAUCCCCGGGCUCAACCUGGGAACUGCAUUCAAAACUGACAAGCUAGAGUAUGGUAGAGGGUGGUGGAAUUUCCUGUGUAGCGGUGAAAUGCGUAGAUAUAGGAAGGAACACCAGUGGCGAAGGCGACCACCUGGACUGAUACUGACACUGAGGUGCGAAAGCGUGGGGAGCAAACAGG
rnacentral:rRNA from 1 species